rnacentral:rRNA from 1 species
UCGAACGAUGAAGCCCUUCGGGGUGGAUUAGUUGGCGAACGGGUGAGUAACACGUGGGCAAUCUGCCCUUCACUCUGGGACAAGCCCUGGAAACGGGGUCUAAUACCGGAUAACACCGGCUUCCGCAUGGAAGCUGGUUAAAAGCUCCGGCGGUGAAGGAUGAGCCCGCGGCCUAUCAGCUUGUUGGUGGGGUAAUGGCCUACCAAGGCGACGACGGGUAGCCGGCCUGAGAGGGCGACCGGCCACACUGGGACUGAGACACGGCCCAGACUCCUACGGGAGGCAGCAGUGGGGAAUAUUGCACAAUGGGCGAAAGCCUGAUGCAGCGACGCCGCGUGAGGGAUGACGGCCUUCGGGUUGUAAACCUCUUUCAGCAGGGAAGAAGCGAAAGUGACGGUACCUGCAGAAGAAGCGCCGGCUAACUACGUGCCAGCAGCCGCGGUAAUACGUAGGGCGCAAGCGUUGUCCGGAAUUAUUGGGCGUAAAGAGCUCGUAGGCGGCUUGUCACGUCGGGUGUGAAAGCCCGGGGCUUAACCCCGGGUCUGCAUCCGAUACGGGCAGGCUAGAGUGUGGUAGGGGAGAUCGGAAUUCCUGGUGUAGCGGUGAAAUGCGCAGAUAUCAGGAGGAACACCGGUGGCGAAGGCGGAUCUCUGGGCCAUUACUGACGCUGAGGAGCGAAAGCGUGGGGAGCGAACAGGAU